AUAACUAAAUUUAAUCCUUUUGUGUAUUUCAGAUCAUCUGCUAUGGAAUUUUCCGAUGUCCGGCACGUUGUGGUUUUUUCCAUUGCUGAUCAGGUGUGUAUCUAUUCAAUACUUUAUGCCUUGUCGCUGUGUCUCUCCUUUUUCAGGCGCUGCAUCAUCCUUCUGAAAUCGCGGAGUCCUCCUGCUUGUGUUUACGCCAGGUGAAUUAUUACAACGGUGGAUCAAAUUCAAACACGAUGGCAUACAUUUCUCAAUCAACAAAUCAGAUUAUGUGAACUGUAAUAAAGGUAUAUAUUUUGCGAUCAAUAAAGAAAUUUUCAUGUUUACAACUAAA